GACGAACGCUGGCGGCGUGCCUAACACAUGCAAGUCGAACGGACAGGCCCUGCUUUUGUCGGGUUCUCGCGUGGCGAACGGGUGAGAAACACGUGAGUAACCUGCCCUUGACUUUGGGAUAUCUUCAGGAAACUGGGGCUAAUACCGCCUAGGAGCUCCUGACCCACGGUGGGGGUUGGACAGCUUCGGCGGUUCGGGAUGGACUCGCGGCUUCUCAGCUUGUUGGUUGGGUAGUGGCUUACCAAGGCUUUGACGGGUAGCCGACCUGAGAGGGUGGCCGGCGACAUUGGGACUGAGGGACGGCCCAGACUGCUACCGGAGGCAGCGGUGGGGAGUAUUGCACAAUGAGCGGAAGCCUGAGGCAGCAACGCCGGGUGCGGAAUGACGGCCUUCGGGUGGUAACCCGCUUUCGCCUGUGACGAGGCGUGAGUGACGGUAAUGGGUAAAGAAGCACCGGCUAACUACGUG
rnacentral:rRNA from 1 species